CUUCCUUUCUCAGUUUAUUAUGGAGCUGUAUUGAAAGAUAACAGUAUUCAGCUGCAUAGCAUGUAGAUAUAGUCACCAAGCGCAACAGAACUUGAAAAAAAGGGCUUUAGACAGGUACAAAUUGCAUUUGCAUAUAAACUUGUAUUCAAAAUCAGGGCAGACAAACUUAUCAUGAUACAAAUUCAUAUUAAUUGAUAGAAUGUAUGCGUGGAUGCAGGAAUGAAGUAUAUUAACGUUGUGUUUAGAUCAUAGAUUUUGAUAGAGAUUUGAAAAUGGAAAGAGAGAUGAAGAAAAAAUUUAGCUUAUAUUUCAUUCACAUUUUACCCACUUUUUUCCUUUUCCUUUCCAAAUCUAUACUCAAACCCAUGAUCCAAACAUAGGCUAAGAGGACAGAAGCUGUAAAAGUUCCAUCUGAUCCCUUUCAGAUCUAUCAAUGUCUUACAAGAACCGUAUGAAAUUACAAUAAUACUACAGUCCCAGAAGGGAAAGGGGGGAUGUUUUGGGGGUAAUACUACAGUCCCAGAAGGGAAAGGGGGGGUGUUUUGUGGGGUGGGGGGAGAAUUUGAAAUCAAUGGAUAAGAUUCACUUAAAAUGGGGCCCCACAGCAACUACUUUAAAUGUAAACCAUUGACAUAAAAUUCAUGGUAACUUUCUGGUUCUGUAGAAUUUCCUAUGAAAUUAAGCAGAACCUGACCCACUUGCAAAAUUAAACACGAUACAGAUAUACAAUAACCUAACAAGCAUGGAUACACAUAUGGACAUGGGACAUGACGAUUUACAAAAAUCUCUUCCAACACAGAAGUGCGGAUACAGCAAAAAAAUUUAUUUGAUAUAUAUGACUAUUAAAUCCACAAACAAGUAAAAAUAAAGAAAAACUAACGCAUGAAAACACCACUAAAUCCAUAUUUUAAACUUCAUUAAAUAUAGAAAUACAAUUUAUUUUACUUUAUGAAUUAUAAAUCAUUAAAUCAGGGUUGUUUUUCUUCAUCAAUAUCAUCAGAAUGACAAUUCAACAAUUUCAGCAAUCAAACUAUUAAUUCAGAAUUGAAGGGACAGAAUGCCACUCAUUUGUAUUAUUUAAAGAGUAGACCUACAACAAAAAAAAAAGAGUAAGAGAGAGAAAACUGCAUAGUAUUGAUUAACACUGACAACAUGUUUACAUAGAGGUGUGUCUAUGAAUGUAUGAGACUUUUUACAAAUCAUGGCAAGAUUACGGUGUC